UACGUAGGGUGCAAGCGUUGUCCGGAAUUAUUGGGCGUAAAGAGCUUGUAGGCGGUUUUGUCGCGUCUGCCGUGAAAUUUCGGGGCUCAACCCCGAACUUGCAGUGGGUACGGGCAGACUAGAGUGUGGUAGGGGAGACUGGAAUUCCUGGUGUAGCGGUGAAAUGCGCAGAUAUCAGGAGGAACACCGAUGGCGAAGGCAGGUCUCUGGGCCGAUACUGACGUGAGGAGCGAAAAGCGUGGGGGAGCAAAC
rnacentral:rRNA from 1 species